rnacentral:rRNA from 1 species
GUGGGGAAUUUUGGACAAUGGGCGCAAGCCUGAUCCAGCAAUGCCGCGUGCAGGAAGAAGGCCUUCGGGUUGUAAACUGCUUUUGUACGGAACGAAACGGUCCUGGCUAAUAUCCGGGGCUAAUGACGGUACCGUAAGAAUAAGCACCGGCUAACUACGUGCCAGCAGCCGCGGUAAUACGUAGGGUGCGAGCGUUAAUCGGAAUUACUGGGCGUAAAGCGUGCGCAGGCGGUGCUGUAAGACAGGCGUGAAAUCCCCGGGCUCAACCUGGGAAUUGCGCUUGUGACUGCAGUGCUGGAGUGCGGCAGAGGUGGAUGGAAUUCCGCGUGUAGCAGUGAAAUGCGUAGAUAUGCGGAGGAACACCGAUGGCGAAGGCAAUCCCCUGGGCCUGCACUGACGCUCAUGCACGAAAGCGUGGGGAGCAAACAGGAUUAGAAACCCUGGUAGUCC